UACGUAGGGGGCUAGCGUUGUCCGGAAUCAUUGGGCGUAAAGCGCGUGUAGGCGGUCCGGUAAGUCCGCUGUGAAAGUCGGGGGCUCAACCCUCGGAUGCCGGUGGAUACUGUCGGGCUUGAGUACGGAAGAGGCGAGUGGAAUUCCUGGUGUAGCGGUGAAAUGCAUAGAUAUCGUCAAGAACACCGAUAGCGAAGGCAGCUUACUGGGCUGUAACUGACGCUGAUGCACGAAAGUGUGGGGAUCAAACAGG
rnacentral:rRNA from 1 species